rnacentral:rRNA from 1 species
AGUGAACGCUGGCGGUAGGCCUAACACAUGCAAGUCGAACGGCAGCACAGUAAGAGCUUGCUCUUACGGGUGGCGAGUGGCGGACGGGUGAGGAAUACAUCGGAAUCUACUUUUUCGUGGGGGAUAACGUAGGGAAACUUACGCUAAUACCGCAUACGACCUACGGGUGAAAGCAGGGGAUCUUCGGACCUUGCGCGAUUGAAUGAGCCGAUGUCGGAUUAGCUAGUUGGCGGGGUAAAGGCCCACCAAGGCGACGAUCCGUAGCUGGUCUGAGAGAAUGAUAAGCCACACUGGAACUGAGACACGGUCCAGACUCCUACGGGAGGCAGCAGUGGGGAAUAUUGGACAAUGGGCGCAAGCCUGAUCCAGCCAUACCGCGUGGGUGAAGAAGGCCUUCGGGUUGUAAAGCCCUUUUGUUGGGAAAGAAAAGCAGCAGGUUAAUACCCCGCUGUUCUGACGGUACCCAAAGAAUAAGCACCGGCUAACUUCGUG